AUGCACACAUGCUCUUCGGUUCAUAUUCUCCAAAAAACCAAGCUAAAGGAUUAUAUUGAUGAGUGUUUCUCAGUGGCCAGGUUCAAAGCAGCAUAUGAGGGAAUUCUCGUGCCAAUUAGGGGCAGGUCCCAAUGGCUCAAGGUAAAUCCUGAAUUUGAUAUGAUCCCUCCCAAGCUUACCAAGAGUGUUGGACGUCCAAGAACUAGGAGGAUAAGGAAUUACACCGAAGGUGGAACCGGCAGAAAACGUAAAUGCAAAAGGUGUGGAACAUUAGGUCAUCUUCGGAAGACAUGGAAGGAGCUAGAGAUUGAAAGUGACACGAACCGAGAUGCUACUCCUCCACGAUAA
rnacentral:rRNA from 1 species